UCUGCCGAGAAGGAUCCAGCUGCAGACAAAAAAAAAAUGUAUUUUUGCUCGUUUUGCUGCAAAGUCUUAUUAACCAUCUGACAGUUACGUGUAUUUAGUUAGAAGCCGUAGGCGCAGUAAUCCUUACACUUCGUAUUGUGUUUUCUGAUAUUACAGUUGCCAUUACAUUAAAAGGAACAUUGUUUUAUAAACCAAAUUGUAAACAUGGAUCCCCGUUUAAAAGCGGCUUUGCUUUUUCAAGACAAAAUUAUACGGCGGUGCACACUACCAUGCCGGGACAAGGUACAUUGUCACCCGGACUUGGCUUCCUCCCUACAACUGUGAGCCACUUCAAUCCCUUCCUGAAGUUUGCAGAGAAUAUCAGUCCAGGGGAGUGGUCUGAAAUGAAUGGCUUUGAGUUGGAGGGGUUUCCAAGCCAAGACUUUGAGGUUGACUGUGGCAUCUACAUGUUGAUGGUAAGAUUCGUCAUUCAGAUAUUUUUGGACUGUCAAGAUGCUUUUGAGAAUAAGUCAUGAACAUUGACAUUUAUUUUUUAAUUGACAGUCUGCUUUAUAUGUGGUGCUGGAUGCUCCCUUUUAUUACACCAUAGUAAGUAGCUCUUUUUAGAGAGCAAUAAAGUAUGUGUGCAAAGAAGUCACUAAAUGACACUAAAUGCACUAAAUUGAUUUUUAAUAGUUAGACAUGCCGAAAUUGCGGAAAUGGUGGUGUAAGGACAUAAAACUUAUAGGUCCUGCAGGCCCCAACUCUGAUCAGCCU